rnacentral:rRNA from 1 species
UACGUAGGGUCCGAGCGUUGUCCGGAAUUACUGGGCGUAAAGAGCUCGUAGGUGGUUUGUCGCGUUGUUCGUGAAAACUCACAGCUCAACUGUGGGCGUGCGGGCGAUACGGGCAGACUAGAGUACUGCAGGGGAGACUGGAAUUCCUGGUGUAGCGGUGAAAUGCGCAGAUAUCAGGAGGAACACCGGUGGCGAAGGCGGAUCUCUGGGCCGAUACUGACGCUGAGGAGCGAAAGCGUGGGGAGCGAACAGG